UUAAUAAUUUAUAUAAAAUAUUUUGAUGAAUAUUUAUAUAAUAUUAACAUAAUUCAUAUUACUAUAUAUUUUAGUAUAUGAAAUUUUACUUUGAGAAAAUUAGAGUGCUUAAAGCAGGCAUAUGCCUUGAAUACUCCAGCAUGGAAUAAUAUUAAAGAUUUUUAUCUUUCUUAUUGGUUCUAAGAUAAGAAUAAUGAUUAAUAGGGACAGUUGGGGGCAUUUGUAUUUAACAGUCAGAGGUGAAAUUCUUAGAUUUGUUAAAGACAAACUAAUGCGAAAGCAUUUGCCAAGGAUGUUUUCAUUAAUCAAGAACGAAAGUUAGGGGAUCGAAGACGAUCAGAUACCGUCGUAGUCUUAACCAUAAACUAUGCCAACUAGAGAUUGGAGGUUGUU
rnacentral:rRNA from 1 species